AGGCAUGGCCGCAGCCUACACAUGCAGUCGAGCGGUAACAGAUCCAGCUUGCUGGAUGCUGACGAGCGGCGGACGGGUGAGUAAUGCAUAGGAAUUUACCCGAUAGUGGGGGAUAACCUGGGGAAACCCAGGCUAAUACCGCAUACGUCCUACGGGAGAAAGGGGGCCUUGGCUCCCGCUAUCGGAUGAGCCUAUGCCGGAUUAGCUGGUUGGUGAGGUAAUGGCUCACCAAGGCGACGAUCCGUAGCUGGUCUGAGAGGAUGAUCAGCCACAUCGGGACUGAGACACGGCCCGAACUCCUACGGGAGGCAGCAGUGGGGAAUAUUGGACAAUGGGCGCAAGCCUGAUCCAGCCAUGCCGCGUGUGUGAAGAAGGCCCUCGGGUUGUAAAGCACUUUCAGCGAGGAAGAACGCCUGGCGGUUAAUACCCGCCAGGAAAGACAUCACUCGCAGAAGAAGCACCGGCUAACUCCGUGCCAGCAGCCGCGGUAAUACGGAGGGUGCAAGCGUUAAUCGGAAUUACUGGGCGUAAAGCGCGCGUAGGUGGCUUGAUAAGCCGGUUGUGAAAGCCCCGGGCUCAACCUGGGAACGGCAUCCGGAACUGUCAGGCUAGAGUGCAGGAGAGGAAGGUAGAAUUCCCGGUGUAGCGGUGAAAUGCGUAGAGAUCGGGAGGAAUACCAGUGGCGAAGGCGGCCUUCUGGACUGACACUGACACUGAGGUGCGAAAGCGUGGGUAGCAAACAGGAUUAGAUACCCUGGUAGUCCACGCCGUAAACGAUGUCGACCAGCCCGUUGGGUGCCUAGCGCACUUUUGUGGCGAAGUUAACGCGAUAAGUCGACCGCCUGGGGGAGUACGGCCGCAAGGUUAAAACUCAAAUGAAUUGACGGGGGCCCGCACAAGCGGUGGGAGCAUGUGGUUUAAUUCGAUGCAACGCGAAGAACCUUUACCUACUCUUGACAUUCCUGCCGAACUUGUGAGAGAUCACUUUGGUUGUCUUCCGGGAACGCAAAGACAGUGCCUGCAUGGCUGUCUUCAGCUCGUGUUGGUGAAAUGUUUGGGUUAAGUCCCCGUAACGAACGCCACCCUUGUUCCUUUUUGGCCUCACUCUAUGGUGGGGAACUCUAGGAAACACGCCCGGGUGAAUACCGGGAGGAAGGGUGGGGA
rnacentral:rRNA from 1 species